UGUAAUUUCUCCGGUAGUAACACCCAACACAAAAUAUCCCUCCAAGGUGUGGAGCUUCAACGUGUUAGCAGUUUUAAAUACCUAGGCAGUGUACUCUCUACCAACGGCAACAUCGACGCAGACAUCACUCACCGUGUUAAUGCGGGGUGGAAAACGUGGCGAAGUUUAACCGGUGUGCUAUGCGACAACAGGAUGCCCGUCCGCGUCAAGGGAAAGGUUUACAAGACCGCUGUACGACCAGCAAUGAUAUAUGGUGCCGAAUGCUGGCCACUCAGAAAGGACCAGGAACAGCAACUAAGUACAUCCAAUAAGUAUAUACGUGGAAGCCUGAAAGUAACGCCGAAAUCUGAUAAACUAUCCGAAACGAGACUACGCUGGUACGGACACGUUAUGAGAAGGCCCGAAGACCAUAUGGCCCGAAAAGUGUUAGACAUCGCCACUGGUCCAAGAGGUCCCGGAAGGCCCCGACUCACAUGGCUAUCAGUAGUAAAUAGUGACCUCGAAGCUCUAGAAUUAGACCCAAUGACGACCCAGAACAGAAAUGGCUGGCGAAAAGCGAUUAGGAGAGCCGACCCCAAUUGAACAUGGGAUAAGGCCGGAGAAAGAAGAAGA